GACGACUUGGCUAACAAAUAGUGCUGCAUGCUCUCCGCUCUCUUUUGGUAAAUAAAAGUUUAUGUUCAAGACGUUAAUUUGCCUGUUCAAUCUCUAUACUACGAUUAAGACACCAGUGAGAGCAGAAGAGGAGACUAACGCUGGAUGAUCAUCGACUGGAUCACAGAAAACCAACACAACCACGAGUUAGCAGCUAGCUUCAAAUGGCGAGGCCUUCCUACAGUCAUCACGAGUAACCAUGCCUGCUGCCUUAAGAGUUGUUAAAUCACUGAAUCCUCCAUCUGACCAGUCGGUUGAGUGUGUGCCUGCAGUUGAUUCACAUCAGCCCGAUCUUUAUCCCGAGGAGAAGCAGAAUGACAUCAUUCACAGUAUCAAACAGCUAAAUGACAAAGUUGGUGC